UCGCUCCUACCGAUUGAAUGAUCCGGUGAAAUCUUCGGACCUGAGCCUUCGGGAGUUCGCUCUCAGUAGGCUUAGGGAAGUUGCUUGAACCUUAUCAUUUAGAGGAAGGAG
rnacentral:rRNA from 1 species